UACAAGACCGUACCCCAAACCGACACAGGUGGUCUGGUAGAGAAUACCAAGGCGCUUGAGAGAACCACAUCAAAGGAACUCGGCAAAAUGCUCCCGUAAGUUCGCGAGAAGGGAGCCCCGUCUGUAGGCGACUAUGGGCGGGGGGCACAAACCAGGGGGUGGCGACUGUUUACUUAAAACACAGGGCUGUGCGAAGCCGUAAGGCGACGUAUACAGUCUGACGCCUGCCCGGUGCUGGAAGGUUAAAAGGAGGGGUGCAAGCUCUGAAUUGAAGCCCCAGUAAACGGCGGCCGUAACAAUAACGGUCCUAAGGUAGCGAAAUUCCUUGUCGGGUAAGUUCCGACCUGCACGAAUGGCGUAACGAUCUCCCCGCUGUCUCUAAUGUGGACUCAGCGAAAUUGAACUGUGUGUCAAGAUGCACACUUCCCGCGGUUAGACGGAAAGACCCCAUGAACCUUUACUCCAGCUUUGCACUGGCAUCAGGAUUGUGAUGUGCAGGAUAGGUGGUAGGCAUCGAAGCAGAGACGCCAGUUUCUGUGGAGCCUCCCUUGAGAUACCACCCUUCGCACUCUUGAUGUCUAACCGCGGCCCGUUAUCCGGGUCCGGGACCAUGCAUGGUGGGGAGUUUGACUGGGGCGGUCGCCUCCCAAACAGUAACGGAGGCGCGCGAAGGUUGGCUCAGAGCGGUCGGAAAUCGCUCGUUGAGUGCAAUGGCAGAAGCCAGCCUGACUGCAAGACUGACAAGUCGAGCAGAGACGAAAGUCGGCCAUAGUGAUCCGGUGGUCCCAAGUGGGAGGGCCAUCGCUCAACGGAUAAGAGGUACUCUGGGGAUAACAGGCUGAUGAUGCCCAAGAGUCCAUAUCGACGGCAUCGUUUGGCACCUCGAUGUCGGCUCAUCUCAUCCUGGGGCUGGAGCAGGUCCCAAGGGUAUGGCUGUUCGCCAUUUAAAGAGGUACGUGAGCUGGGUUUAGAACGUCGUGAGACAGUUCGGUCCCUAUCUGCCGUGGGUGUAGGAGACUUGAGAAGAGUUGCCCCUAGUACGAGAGGACCGGGGUGAACGUUCCACUGGUGGACCAGUUGUCGUGCCAACGGCAGUGCUGGGUAGCUAUGAACGGACAGGAUAACCGCUGAAGGCAUCUAAGCGGGAAGCCCCCUUCAAAACAAGGUCUCCCUUGAGAGCCGUGGAAGACCACCACGUCGAUAGGCCAGAGGUGUAAGUGCAGCAAUGCAUUCAGCUGACUGGUACUAAUUG
rnacentral:rRNA from 1 species